ACAGAUUCUGGGCGUCCGUAGAAGCGGUAAAAUUUCGUAACAUGUUGUGAUUUAAAGACAAAACAAGACAAAAUGGAAUAUUUGGGAACGAAUUCAACCCUGUCAUCGGCAGAAAGAAUAAAAAUUAAUAAAGAUAAGAAAUAACAGAAAAGGAGAGAACAGAAACUUAGGAGUUAUAAAAACAUCAAUACAGAAAGAGCACAAAAUCUACCAAAACAUAUAGUAAGACUUCAAGUGCUAUUAAACAGAGAGCAUACAAUGAGAGAGAAAAACAAGAAAUAGCACGAGAAAAAGAAAUAAAACGAACGAGAAGAGAAUACAUGAAAAUGUACAGGAAACGAACAAGACUAGACGAUGCUCCUAAUGACGAAGAACAGUUUUUUUCUAACAGAAUGGAAAAGGCCAGAACAAUAAAAAGACUUCGUGAAGCUCUUCCAAAAAAUUCAAGCAAACGUGCGGCCGUACUUUCUGCUUAUAUAGAUAAAAAAAAGAGCGACAAAGUCACCUGCUGUUGAGAAAUUCCACUUUUCAUUCAGUGACAGUCUAGAGAAAUCUGCCUUAGAAAAUGUGAAAGAAAUCAUC